rnacentral:rRNA from 1 species
CCUACGGGAGGCAGCAGUAAGGAAUAUUGGUCAAUGGACGCAAGUCUGAACCAGCCAUGCCGCGUGAAGGAUUAAGGUCCUCUGGAUUGUAAACUUCUUUUAUUUGGGACGAAAAAAGGGCCUUUCUAGGCCAACUGACGGUACCAGAUGAAUAAGCACCGGCUAACUCCGUGCCAGCAGCCGCGGUAAUACGGAGGGUGCAAGCGUUAUCCGGAUUCACUGGGUUUAAAGGGUGCGUAGGCGGGUAGGUAAGUCAGUGGUGAAAUCCUGGAGCUCAACUCCAGAACUGCCAUUGAUACUAUUUAUCUUGAAUAUUGUGGAGGUAAGCGGAAUAUGUCAUGUAGCGGUGAAAUGCUUAGAUAUGACAUAGAACACCUAUUGCGAAGGCAGCUUACUACGCAUAUAUUGACGCUGAGGCACGAAAGCGUGGGGAUCAAACAGGAUUAGAUACCCUGGUAGUCCACGCCCUAAACUAUGAUUACUCGACAUUUGUGAUACACAAUAAGUGUCUGNGNGAGANAUAAGUAAUACACCGCGGUAAGGUACGUCGCGAGAGUUAGAAGUUAAAGUUAAGUUAGUUAGACGNGNGAGAGCGACGACGACGACGACGGAGGAGGAGG